CCCAAUGAAUUUAAGCAUAUCAAUAAGUGGAGAAAAAGAAACUAACAAGAAUUCUCUUAGUAACAGCGAGCGAACCGGGA
rnacentral:rRNA from 1 species